GUCGAAAAGUCCUUUUUGCCAAUCUGGAAGAAUGGUUUUCUUUUUGGUUGUUUGGUUCUCAGUAUUAUGGAAAUGAAGGAACCGGAUGAAUGAAAGAUACCAUUUGAUGAAGGAAAAUUUAUUGGCUUUCAGAGAGAAAAUAAUAGAUGGGUAAGUUGGGUUCUUGGAGGAAACUGAAUGCGGAGAUUCAAUUUGAGGUUGAUGCAUCCAAUGUUUGACCCAGUUUAGUGGGAAUUGAAUCCGGAG
rnacentral:misc_RNA from 1 species